GUGCCAGCAGCCGCGGUAAGACAGAGGUCUCGAGCGUUAGGCGGAAUCACUGGGCUUAAAGCGUGUGUAGGUGGAUUUGUAAGUACCUUGUGAAAUCCCACGGCUUAACCGUGGAACUGCUUGGUAUACUGCUUAUCUUGGGCCAUCUAGGGGUUACCGGAACAAACGGUGGAGCGGUGAAAUGCGUAGAUAUCGUUUGGAACGCCAAUGGUGAAAACAGGUAACUGGGGAUGUGCCGACACUGAGACACGAAAGCCAGGGGAGCGAACGGGAUUAGAUACCCCUGUAGUCC
rnacentral:rRNA from 1 species